UGGGGAAUAUUGGACAAUGGGCGAAAGCCUGAUCCAGCCAUGCCGCGUGAGUGAAGAAGGCCUUAGGGUUGUAAAACUCUUUCGGCAGGGAAGAUAAUGACGGUACCUGCAGAAGAAGCUCCGGCUAACUCCGUGCCAGCAGCCGCGGUAAUACGGAGGGGGCAAGCGUUGCUCGGAAUUACUGGGCGUAAAGCGAGCGUAGGCGGUUAAUUUAGUUGGUGGUGAAAGCCCAGAGCUUAACUCUGGAACUGCCAUCAAAACUGAUUGACUAGAGAUUGGUAGAGGAAAAUGGAAUUCCUAGUGUAGAGGUGAAAUUCGUAGAUAUUGGGAAGAACACCAGUGGCGAAGGCGAUUUUCUGGGCCAAUUCUGACGCUGAGGUUCGAAAGCGUGGGUAGCAAACAGG
rnacentral:rRNA from 1 species